AUGUCAGGGCUGCGGCUGCUAAGCGCCGGCCUCCGGGCAGCGAGCUCCCGGCCGCGCCCCGGGAGCCCAGCCCCGCCCGAGUGGGGACCGGAGGACAAGGCUAGCCGAGCGGAUCUGAGGCAACCUCUGCCCGGCUCCAGCCCCAUGCACCUUCCCGGCCGCCCCAGGAGAAAGCCGGGGAUGGGAGAAAGGGCGGCGGGAGGGCGGCGUGCCCUCCGCCCUCUGCUGCCCGCGGACUCUCCCUGCGUGCAGGGGUUGUUCUGCGCCCUGGGGGCCUCAGCCCUGAGCCAUCCGCCGCCCCCGCCGCAGCCCGGGUACGGCCCUCUGGCUCUGUUAGCAGGCACAGCCCCGCGCCCUUCCGGCUCCCAGGCUCUGCUAUUUCAAGAAUUUUAGGGGGGAAAAUGUGCACUGGCGAGGUGGGGGCCCACGCAGCCUGGGAAACUCGUGAAGCAGGCUGGCAGGCGCGGCCUGGAUGCAGUGACCUCUGUCCCCUAAGGGUCUCCCCAGCUUUGCUGAUCGCAGAGGUGGAGUGGGGGGCUUUUUCUGUCUCCCAAAUUUACUCUGAAAUCGAGCCUCUGGUGAGUGAAAGUCCACAUGAUUAUAUCACGUCCAUAGCAGUCGCGCUGUGUCCUAUAUGGGUACGGGGUACCCGCGACGCAGACACUGAGGUCCCCAGAGACGCAGAGUCUCUUGGCCCCAGGGCUUAUGCUUGUUUUCUGUAUGGAACAGGCCUCCGAAUUCCUCCAGGAACGUCUCAGUAAGUAGGGGUGUGUGUGCAUGUGUGUGCAAUGAUUCCCAUGACCUGACAGAUGUGUUAUAAGACCAAAUAGACUUACGUGCAAUAAUAGAUCGUGUACUUGUAGAUACCUUUUAAAAUAGAUAAUGAAAUUUCUGCAAUCUUGAAGAUCAACUUGUCAAAGCAUAGUAUUUCCAGUCCUCGUUUAAUUAAAAAACUUGCACUUCUGUAGAGAUUCGAUGGACAUUUCUAGCUAGCACCUUUGGAGUUCCGAAUUGAAUCUCCAUUCAUUUUCACAAUGGAACGCUUGUCAGAGGAACUGCCAUUGCAGGUCACUCUUCCUCAAAACUGUAAGCUGCCUCCAGGCAGGGAGAGUAAGUACUCAAUAAAUGAUUGUUAAAUGAUUACACCACCCCCUCCAAUCCUUACAUUUUCUAUAAAUCCUAAAGGAGGAAUGUAGGAAGGGGGCGGUGGGGAUGAAAGAUACCAAAUAAAAGUGAACGACUUAGUAGUCCAAGCUGGGNNNNNNNNNNNNNNNNNNNNNNNNNNNNNNNNNNNNNNNNNNNNNNNNNNNNAUCAAAUCUUUUUGGUUUUAGGACUAUCAUGGGCAGGAAGUGGAACUGAUCCACAUUCUCUGGCUUUUUAGCCAAUAAGUGGAUACAUUUAUUUCUUUGGGAUAUAUUUUGCACUCUUUCUUUUUUUUCUUUCUAUAUAUUAGGUGUGGUGUAAGCCAUUAUACUUGAAAAUAUACCUUUGCUGGCCUUUGAAACCUUAGAUGUUUUGGAUUUACUGAUAGCUAAUCUCAUAUUUCUCUUUUUUAUAUUUUCACUGGCAUCCUACAAUAACAUACAUUGGAGAAAUCUGGUUUAGAUACCUAAAAUACUUCACUUGGGCACAUGACCUACAAAUACUAAAAUCUAUUAGCUGCCUUAAUUGUUGCUUUUUAGCUCUCAAUGAUACUUUUGUAUCUUUGUUCCUUAGCCUUUGAGUGUACUUCACAGACUCUUCUGUUCCUAAAUAUUUGAAGAACCUGUGUUGUUAAUAGGUAAUAUCAGCACACACAUGCUGUAUUUAGCUGAUAAUCGUUUUCAUAAAGGGUUCAGUUUGUGCCCACUCAUAUAAUGGCAGUUAAACAUUGCCAUCACUGAUGCAUUACAAAACAUUCAUUCUGGACAACAUACUGUCUAGAAUGUUUUCUGCUAAUACUAGAAAUCUCUAAACACCUCAUCACUAUCAUUGUUUCUGAAGUCUUUUGUCUAAUUUUAGACUACUAAAAAAUAUUUUAGUCUGAACUUUAGGCUUACGCACUUGAAUUUUUGUACUACUUUUACUGUUUUGUUCAAGUGCCAAGUAUCCAUUCUUUUCAGGUUGUACAUAAAAUAUGGUUCAGAAUACCAUCUCUAUUUACAGCUCCAGGAAAAAAAAUGCUGUUAAACUUAUAACUCUAGAUAACCUUAUUCUUUUAUUUUAGCAAUUUUACCUCCGGUGUGAUUUUUAAUGAAGUCUUUAUUGCUUUUUUUUUUUUUUUUGACCUACUUUCAAGAGCUUUCAUAUACAACGUGUUUUCAGUGGUGGUGAUUUCUGUAGUGUGUAGGAGAGUCUUAAAUCGCGGUGGAACAGAUUGGUUGGCUAUCAUUUAUUCCAGAAAUGUCUUCGUGGUUUCAAAUCACCUGGUUCCAACGUCCACAGUUUCACAGUCUGAAAUCUUUCAAGCUCUGCUUUUCAUGGGUUUGCUCCGUUCUCUAGACUGAGGACUGACAGGACCUCAUUCUGCUGUGAUCCAACUGUUAUUUUUCU
rnacentral:lncRNA from 1 species